rnacentral:rRNA from 1 species
UACGAAGGGGGCUAGCGUUGUUCGGAAUCACUGGGCGUAAAGGGCGCGUAGGCGGCUUGGUAUGUCGGGUGUGAAAUCCCCGGGCUCAACCUGGGAACUGCAUCCGAAACUGCCUUGCUCGAGUAUGGGAGAGGGAAGUGGAAUUUCCGGUGUAGCGGUGAAAUGCGUAGAUAGUCGGAAGGAACAUCAGUGGCGAAGGCGACUUCCUGGACCAAUACUGACGCUCAGGUGCGAAAGCGUGGGGAGCAAACAGGAUUAGAA